UCGGCCAUAUCCUGCCAAAAACUCCUCCUCCAGAAUGCCGACAAAAUUUCUCUCUCCCUUUCCUGCCGCUAGCGACGCCACCCUCAUCGUCGCACCUCCCCUUCUCCCCUUCUCCGUUGUUUGUAAUAGAUAUGGCCGAAAAGGCCUUUUUUUUGCCGAAUCCCAUCAAACCCGACCCAUUUUUGGGUCAAUUCUGGCCUACUUUCAUUGGUAUCAUUGCCAGCCACCGGCGAACGCUAAAUCAGCCACCAAAUCCCCCAAAACUGGUAAUCGGAGUUGACUUCGGCGAUGUUUUGUCGGAGAU
rnacentral:lncRNA from 1 species